UACGUAGGGUGCAAGCGUUGUUCGGAAUUACUGGGCGUAAAGCGCACGUAGGCGGCUUUGCAAGUUAGAGGUGAAAGCCCGGGGCUCAACUCCGGAAUUGCCUUUAAAACUGCAUCGCUAGAAUUGUGGAGAGGUAAGUGGAAUUCCGAGUGUAGAGGUGAAAUUCGUAGAUAUUCGGAAGAACACCAGUGGCGAAGGCGACUUACUGGACACAUAUUGACGCUGAGGUGCGAAAGCGUGGGGAGCAAACAGG
rnacentral:rRNA from 1 species